UACGGGGGGGGGCAAGCGUUGUUCGGAAUUACUGGGCGUAAAGGGCUCGUAGGCGGCCAACUAAGUCGGACGUGAAAUCCCCAGGCUCAACCUGGGAACUGCGUCCGAUACUGGAUGGCUUGAAUCCGGGAGAGGGAUGCAGAAUUCCAGGUGUAGCGGUGAAAUGCGUAGAUAUCUGGAGGAAUCACCGGUGGCGAAGGCGGCAUCCUGGACCGGCAUUGACGCUGAGGCGCGAAAGCUAGGGGAGCGAACAGG
rnacentral:rRNA from 1 species